GCCUGCGCACCGGUGCCAUAGUGGUUAGAGCAUCCGCCUCGGAUGCGAGAGGUCGCGGUUUCGAACCCCGGUUGAGUCA